AACGCAGGCGGUCUUUUAAGUCUGAUGUGAAAGCCUUCGGCUUAACCGAAGUAGUGCAUUGGAAACUGGAAGACUUGAGUGCAGAAGAGGAGAGUGGAACUCCAUGUGUAGCGGUGAAAUGCGUAGAUAUAUGGAAGAACACCAGUGGCGAAGGCGGCUGUCUGGUCUGUAACUGACGCUGAGGCUCAAAGCAUGGGUAGCGAACA
rnacentral:rRNA from 1 species